AGAGUUUGAUCCUGGCUCAGGAUGAACGCUAGCUACAGGCUUAACACAUGCAAGUCGAGGGGCAUCGGGAUUGAAGCUUGCUUCAAUUGCCGGCGACCGGCGCACGGGUGAGUAACGCGUAUCCAACCUUCCGUACACUCAGGGAUAGCCUUUCGAAAGAAAGAUUAAUACCUGAUGGUAUGAUGAGAUUGCAUGAUAGCAUCAUUAAAGAUUUAUCGGUGUACGAUGGGGAUGCGUUCCAUUAGGUAGUAGGCGGGGUAACGGCCCACCUAGCCAACGAUGGAUAGGGGUUCUGAGAGGAAGGUCCCCCACAUUGGAACUGAGACACGGUCCAAACUCCUACGGGAGGCAGCAGUGAGGAAUAUUGGUCAAUGGACGAGAGUCUGAACCAGCCAAGUAGCGUGAAGGAUGAAGGUCCUACGGAUUGUAAACUUCUUUUAUAAGGGAAUAAAACCUCCCACGUGUGGGAGCUUGUAUGUACCUUAUGAAUAAGCAUCGGCUAACUCCGUGCCAGCAGCCGCGGUAAUACGGAGGAUCCGAGCGUUAUCCGGAUUUAUUGGGUUUAAAGGGAGCGUAGAUGGGUUGUUAAGUCAGUUGUGAAAGUUUGCGGCUCAACCGUAAAAUUGCAAUUGAUACUGGCAGUCUUGAGUACAGUUGAGGUAGGCGGAAUUCGUGGUGUAGCGGUGAAAUGCUUAGAUAUCACGAAGAACUCCGAUUGCGAAGGCAGCUUACUAACCUGUAACUGACAUUGAUGCUCGAAAGUGUGGGUAUCAAACAGGAUUAGAUACCCUGGUAGUCCACACGGUAAACGAUGAAAACGCGCUGUAGGCGAAUAUACGGUCUGCGGCCAAGCGAAAGCAUUAAGUAUUCCACCUGGGGAGUACGCCGGCAACGGUGAAACUCAAAGGAAUUGACGGGGGCCCGCACAAGCGGAGGAACAUGUGGUUUAAUUCGAUGAUACGCGAGGAACCUUACCCGGGCUUAAAUUGCAAAGGAAUAAUCUGGAAACAGAUUAGUCUUC
rnacentral:rRNA from 1 species